rnacentral:rRNA from 1 species
UGGAUUCGCUAGUAAUCGCGCAUCAGCCAUGGCGCGGUGAAUAUGUUCCCGGGCCUUGUACACACCGCCCGUCAAGCCAUGGAAGCCGGGGGUGCCUGAAGUGUGCAGCCGCAAGGAGCGCCCUAAGGUAAAACCGGUGACUGGGGCUAAGUCGUAACAAGGUAUC